rnacentral:lncRNA from 1 species
AGAGAGAGAGAGCGAGAGAGAGAGAGAGAGAGAGAGAGAGAGAGAGAGAGAGAGAGAGAGAGAGAGAGAGAGAGAGAGANNNNNNNNNNAACAAGUUCCAGUUACAUAAUAAGGUGAUUACAGAUUUGGGAUUUGCCAACUGUGUUGCCUUGACUACGCACAAGCAUUGUUGAGUGGUGUGAUGACAUUGGCCUCUGAAAACUCUAAGCAGGUAUGCUGUAUUUUCUUGAAGGGCAGUCUCACAAAUGUGUGAGGAAGAAUAGGAGGAUGGACAACGUGCUAGGCUUCUCAACUUCAUUGAGCUUUACCCUAAUUUCUUGUUUUCUUCCCAAGUCAGCUUUUUAAUUUCUUUCAACUAAACUAUACUCUGCCGUGGAUGUGAAAUGAUGCUAAGUGAAAGUCAGUAGGAAACAAAUAGAAAUCAUCGAAGACCCAAGUAAGUGAGGAGGCAAGUGAGAACAGAAGGAUGAAAGUCAUCUAAGGUGAAUCUCAUCUCGGCUCUUGAUGUGUGAUGGAUCUGAGCUGUAACAGCUGCAGAGGGAGCUGCUGGAACUGCCAAAUAAUUCUCAAGUUUUUAUCUGGAUGUCUGGAGACCUCUGCUUCCUGGCCUUUUAUAUUUCACUUCUCCACCACGAUCCUUUGUACAAAACCUUCCUUCUGAUUCUGCAAACUGAAUUCUUCACUGCCUACUCAUGGAAAGGAACUACAUUGAGCCUUCUGCUAAUAAGACAAGACCACAGUAAGAGCUUGAUGUUUGCCUUCCUGGGAGAGAAUGGCCGGUUCUCUUGAAAAACAAAAGUUAAAUUCUUC